rnacentral:rRNA from 1 species
AGAUAGAGAGUGCUCGAAAGAGAGCCGUAACACAGGUGCUGCAUGGCUGUCGUCAGCUCGUGUCGUGAGAUGUUGGUUAAGUCCCGCAACGAGCGCAACCCUUGUCAUUAGUUGCUACAGUUCAGUUGGGGCACUCGUAAUGAGACUGCCGGUGACAAACCGGAGGAAGGUGGGGAUGACGUCAAGUCCUCACUUGGCCCUUACUAGGUGGGGCUACACACGUCAUACAAUGGAUGGUACAAAGGGUCGCCAACCCGCGAGGGGGAGCCAAUCCCAUAAAGCCAAUUCGUAGUCCGGAUCGCAGUCUGCAACUCGACUGCGUGAAGUCGGAAUCGCUAGUAAUCGUGGAUCAGAAUGUCACGGUGAAUACGUUCCCGGGUCUU